UGAAGUGUAUCUUUACCUUACCUGUACAAGAUAUUUCAUAUAUUUUGUUAACUCAUAGUUCUGGAUACCUGGUUUUAUUUGAUAAUAUACAAUCCUCGAAAUAAAGAACCAGUGAAUACAUGUAGCUGAAAUCAG